rnacentral:rRNA from 1 species
CGUGAAAUUCCGUCGGAAUCUGGGAGGACCAUCUCCUAAGGCUAAAUACUCUCUAGUGACCGAUAGUGAACCAGUACCGUGAGGGAAAGGUGAAAAGCACCCCGGAAGGGGAGUGAAAUAGAACCUGAAACCGUGUGCUUACAAGUAGUCAGAGCCCGUUAAUGGGUGAUGGCGUGCCUUUUGUAGAAUGAACCGGCGAGUUACGAUUUGAUGCAAGGUUAAGCAGUAAAUGUGGAGCCGUAGCGAAAGCGAGUCUGAAUAGGGCGUUUAGUAUUUGGUCGUAGACCCGAAACCAGGUGAUCUACCCUUGGUCAGGUUGAAGUUCAGGUAACACUGAAUGGAGGACCGAACCGACUUACGUUGAAAAGUGAGCGGAUGAACUGAGGGUAGCGGAGAAAUUCCAAUCGAACCUGGAGAUAGCUGGUUCUCUCCGAAAUAGCUUUAGGGCUAGCCUCAAGUGAUGAUUAUUGGAGGUAGAGCACUGUUUGGACGAGGGGCCCCUCUCGGGUUACCGAAUUCAGACAAACUCCGAAUGCCAAUUAAUUUAACUUGGGAGUCAGAACAUGGGUGAUAAGGUCCGUGUUCGAAAGGGAAACAGCCCAGACCACCAGCUAAGGUCCCAAAAUAUAUGUUAAGUGGAAAAGGAUGUGGCGUUGCCCAGACAACUAGGAUGUUGGCUUAGAAGCAGCCAUCAUUUAAAGAGUGCGUAAUAGCUCACUAGUCGAGUGACACUGCGCCGAAAAUGUACCGGGGCUAAACAUAUUACCGAAGCUGUGGAUUGUCCUUUGGACAAUGGUAGGAGAGCGUUCUAAGGGCGUUGAAGCAUGAUCGUAAGGACAUGUGGAGCGCUUAGAAGUGAGAAUGCCGGUGUGAGUAGCGAAAGACGGGUGAGAAUCCCGUCCACCGAUUGACUAAGGUUUCCAGAGGAAGGCUCGUCCGCUCUGGGUUAGUCGGGUCCUAAGCUGAGGCCGACAGGCGUAGGCGAUGGAUAACAGGUUGAUAUUCCUGUACCACCUAUAAUCGUUUUAAUCGAUGGGGGGACGCAGUAGGAUAGGCGAAGCGUGCGAUUGGAUUGCACGUCUAAGCAGUAAGGCUGAGUAUUAGGCAAAUCCGGUACUCGUUAAGGCUGAGC